rnacentral:rRNA from 1 species
UACGCAGGCGGCUUGGUAAGACAGAUGUGAAAUCCCCGGGCUUAACCUGGGAACUGCAUUUGUGACUGCCAGGCUCGAGUCUGUCAGAGGGGGGUGGAAUUCCACGUGUAGCAGUGAAAUGCGUAGAGAUGUGGAGGAACACCGAUGGCGAAGGCAGCCCCCUGGGAUGAGACUGACGCUCAUGUACGAAAGCGUGGGGAGCAAACAGGAUUAGAUACCCUGGUAGUCCACGCCCUAAACGAUGUCGACUAGUUGUCGGGAAUUUAUUUUCUCGGUAACGCAGCUAACGCGUGAAGUCGACCGCCUGGGGAGUGCGGUCGCAAGAUUAAA